GACUGAUAAAAAAUCCUCUAAAAUGAUUCAUCUCAAAAACAAUAGCUCUAGAAGAAUCAUCUGUGGGAUAAUUUAUUAAACUUGUUUCUCCUUUAGCAUCCUAAGGGUAUAUCUCUAUUACCAACUAUCUGGUUUAGGGAUAGAUCUCUCACCCUUCCAGAUGCAAGAUCUGGUUCAGGUCUUAGGAAAAUGUGUACACAUGCCAGCCCCCUUUUCAAUAAAAAAAAAAACUAAA
rnacentral:lncRNA from 1 species